GAUGAACGCUAGCGGCAGGCUUAACACAUGCAAGUCGAGGGGUAUAGUUCUUCGGAGCUAGAGACCGGCGCACGGGUGCGUAACGCGUAUGCAAUCUACCUUUUGCAGAGGGAUAGCCCAGAGAAAUUUGGAUUAAUACCUCAUGGUAUGUGAGAAUGGCAUCAUUUUCACAUUAAAGUCACAACGGCAAAAGAUGAGCAUGCGUCCCAUUAGCUAGUUGGUAAGGUAACGGCUUACCAAGGCAACGAUGGGUAGGGGUCCUGAGAGGGAGAGCCCCCACACUGGUACUGAGACACGGACCAGACUCCUACGGGAGGCAGCAGUGAGGAAUAUUGGACAAUGGGCGCAAGCCGGAUCCAGCCAUGCCGCGUGCAGGAUGACGGUCCUAUGGAUUGUAAACUGCUUUUGUACAGGAAGAAACACUGGUUCGUGAACCAGCUUGACGGUACUGUAAGAAUAAGGAUCGGCUAACUCCGUGCCAGCCGCCGCAGUAACAC
rnacentral:rRNA from 1 species